UACGAAGGGGGCUAGCGUUGCUCGGAAUUACUGGGCGUAAAGGGCGCGUAGGCGGGUCGUUAAGUUAGAGGUGAAAGCCCAGGGCUCAACCCUGGAAUUGCCUUUAAUACUGUCGACCUUGAGUAUGGCAGAGGUGUGUGGAACUCCGAGUGUAGAGGUGAAAUGCGUAGAUAUCGGGAGGAACACCUGUGGCGAAAGCGGCUCACUGGACCGCAACUGACGCUGAGGCGCGAAAGCUAGGGGAGCAAACAGG
rnacentral:rRNA from 1 species